GCUUUUCUCCCAAAUUGCAAGGAAGGUGCGUCUUAUAGUCUGAAAAAUACAGUGUUAAUUCAACUGGACAAAACAUGCAUGACUACCUACAGGCAUUGUUGUAGUCAGUAAAACAGAGAAAAAUUAACUCAAUUCCUGCACUCAACUCAAAAGUCUAGCACACUUACAAUACAAUUGUUAAAAUAGAAGUGCUAUAUAAAGUGCUAUGAGGACAAAGAUAAGGAACAAUUAAAUUGUUGAGAUGAGGCCAAUAACUUAAAUAAUCCACUGACUCUACUAUCCAAUCUACAUUUUCAAUUUCUUCCCAAAGACAUGAGCUUUGUCAAAUACACUUAGCUAAUAAUA